rnacentral:snoRNA from 1 species
AUGCCAUGGUGUGGACAUUUCCUUAACCUUGCUUUCAAUCUUUCCCAAGCUUGAUAAACUGACUCAGUGUCGGUCUGCAAGAAGUUAGAUAUAUCCUGUCUUAACUU